rnacentral:rRNA from 1 species
GAUGAACGCUGGCGGCGUGCCUAAUACAUGCAAGUCGAGCGAAUGGAUUAAGAGCUUGCUCUUAUGAAGUUAGCGGCGGACGGGUGAGUAACACGUGGGUAACCUGCCCAUAAGACUGGGAUAACUCCGGGAAACCGGGGCUAAUACCGGAUAGCAUUUUGAACCACAUGGCUCGAAAUUGAAGGGCGGCUUCGGCUGUCACUUAUGGAUGGACCCGCGUCGCAUUAGCUAGUUGGUGAGGUAACGGCUCACCAAGGCAACGAUGCGUAGUCGACCUGAGAGGGUGAUCGGCCACACUGGGACUGAGACACGGCCCAGACUCCUACGGGAGGCAGCAGUAGGGAAUCUUCCGCAAUGGACGAAAGUCUGACGGAGCAACGCCGCGUGAGUGAUGAAGGCUUUCGGGUCGUAAAACUCUGUUGUUAGGGAAGAACAAGUGCUAGUUGAAUAAGCUGGCACCUUGACGGUACCUAACCAGAAAGCCACGGCUAACUACGUGCCAGCAGCCGCAGUAA